UACGUAGGGAGCAAGCGUUGCUCGGAUUUACUGGGCGUAAAGGGCGCGUAGGCGGCAAUUCAAGUCAUCUGUGAAAUCUCCGGGCUUAACUCGGAACGGUCAGAUGAUACUGCUUUGCUAGAGUGCAGAAGGGGCAAUCGGAAUUCUCGGUGUAGCGGUGAAAUGCGUAGAUAUCGAGAGGAACACCAGAGGUGAAGACGGGUUGCUGGGCUGACACUGACGCUGAGGCGCGAAAGCCAGGGGAGCAAACGGG
rnacentral:rRNA from 1 species